GUGCUCACUUUAUCAGCACAUGUACUACAGUUAGAAUAAUACAGAGAAGAUUAGCAUGGAUUCUGAGCAGGAAUGACAUGCAGAUUUGUGAAGCAAUGAAGAGAAGA
rnacentral:snRNA from 1 species